rnacentral:miRNA from 1 species
AGUGUGUGUGUGAGUGUAUGUGUGUGUAUAUAUAUAUAUAUAUAUACAUAUAUAUAUAUAUAUACACACACACACACACACACACACUAU